rnacentral:rRNA from 1 species
GACUGUGGCCACCCCACCCUGAACGCCCCCGAUCCCGUCUGAUCUCGGAGGCUAAGCAGGGUCGGGCCUGGUUAGUACUUGGAUGGGAGACCACCAAAGAAGACCAGGUGCUGUAGGCA